UACGGGGGGAGCAAGCGUUGUUCGGAUUUACUGGGCGUAAAGGGCGCGUAGGCGGCCAGCACAGGUCAGUUGUGAAAUCUCCGGGCUUAACUCGGAAAGGUCAACUGAUACUGCGGGGCUAGAGUGCGGAAGGGGCAACUGGAAUUCUCGGUGUAGCGGUGAAAUGCGUAGAUAUCGAGAGGAACACCUGCGGCGAAGGCGGGUUGCUGGGCCGACACUGACGCUGAUGCGCGAAAGCCAGGGGAGCGAACGGG
rnacentral:rRNA from 1 species